rnacentral:rRNA from 1 species
AGAGACAGCAGUCGCCGCGGUAAUACGGAGGGUGCAAGCGUUAAUCGGAAUUACUGGGCGUAAAGCGCACGCAGGCGGUCUGACAAGUCAGAUGUGAAAUCCCCGGGCUUAACCUGGGAACUGCAUUUGAAACUGUCAGGCUGGAGUCUUGUAGAGGGGGGUGGAAUUCCAGGUGUAGCGGUGAAAUGCGUAGAGAUCUGGAGGAAUACCGGUGGCGAAGGCGGCCCCCUGGACAAAGACUGACGCUCAGGUGCGAAAGCGUGGGGAGCAAACAGGAUUAGAUACCCGUGUAGUCCCUGUCUCUUAUAC